UAUUCUGCCCUACGGGGAAGGAUGAGAAGCUUCGACUAAGGUUCGACUCGAGCGCCAGCGAGAAAACGU
rnacentral:sRNA from 1 species